UACAGAGGGUGCGAGCGUUAAUCGGAAUUACUGGGCGUAAAGCGUGCGCAGCCGGUCAUGUAAGUCGGGUGUGAAAGCCCCGGGCUCAACCUGGGAAUUGCAUUCGAGACUGUGUGGCUAGGGUGCGGAAGAGGGAAGCGGAAUUUCCGGUGUAGCGGUGAAAUGCGUAGAUAUCGGAAGGAACACCAGUGGCGAAAGCGGCUUCCUGGUCCAGCACCGACGUUCAGGCACGAAAGUGUGGGGAGCGAACAGG
rnacentral:rRNA from 1 species